AAAGACCCAGUGAAAGGGUAGAGUAAUCUGUCGCAAACCUUGCAGAGAGCCGGUGGUGCUGUGAACCGGCAGGGGCGGCAGGUGAAAUUGGCUCCCUGGAGGGUGUUUGCUGAAAACAAUAGUAGGCAAACACGGGCAGAACCCGUUAUCACAGACUCAAGAGGACCGGACUUGUUUCCGGUCAAAAAGGGUGGCACCGCGGGAGAAAGCCUCUCGUCCCUGUU
rnacentral:ncRNA from 1 species